GACAGGGGCCGCCGAGGGGGAGCCGAGCCGAGUCGAGGCGAGCUGAGCUCUGCCCCAAACAGUACUGUAGUGGACGGAGAGAAGACGUUAUGUGAGGCAACACAGCACCAUAAAAAAAGGAACCAGUAUCGAGAAGCAGAUGACUAUGCUGCAAUGUUUGCUGCAAAGGGACAGUUUGUAAAGAAUGUUCGAGAGGCGAGACAACCCUAUGCAGGCCCCAAGUACUCGUUACGGACGCCCACGCCCACAGCACACCCACGCACGACGACGUAAGGCAAGGCAACCAUUUAUUUGAUAUUUAUUGUUUUGUUCAACUUCGCCCGCCGGGGAGAGGACGGCGGGGGCGCGGACCCACGCCCUUGCAGGAAUGAGGGAGAGAGAGAAGGGGAGGAGGAAGGAAGGGAGGAGGGAAGGAAGGGUACAACGUUUUGGUGACCUUGUGACCUCACCAGCUGACCUCUUUACCCUCCAACAUGAACAAGAGAGGAGAAAGUGGCCCUACACAACGCCGUACCGAAUAUAGCGCCUCAAGCCUCGUUCUGGGAGGUUCGUGCGAAGAGUCGAAACUUCGGGACGUGCGGUUCACUCCCUCCCGCGGCAGGCGUCGGCGGGGGAACCUUCCAUUAGGUCUCGUAAAGUGUGGCGAGACAAAGGACUCAUCGAAGAGACGCGAUGAGAGUCUGACCGGCGG